UUGUCCAGCCAAGUUCCAUUUUCAUAGAUUAUGGGAGCAACUUGGAGCCAGGUUAAAGUGACAGGAGAAGACAAAAGCCACCCAGAGUCAAAACUACCUUUGAAGACACCUUUGAAGAAAGCAUCUUGUUGAAGACACUUUGUGGAACACCAUGUUUCAGUGACCAAGGACCACGUCUUCACUGAGCUGAAAAAGAGGAGACUUGGAAUGGGAGAGCACGCCUUUGUGUCAGUUAUGUUGAUAUGAAUAAGUGUGUCAUUUCCUCCUCAUAGAAGACAUGCGAGGACAGUAUUAUGACUACCUUUUCAGAGAAGCAGUAUGAAUGAUAGAAUAAGGAGAGAAUCUACCUCUCUGAGCCCUUCUACCAUGGCGGUGAAUUUCUAAAGCAGGAUGACCUACUACAAAUAUUCUACAGUAUCAACUAACAACCAGGCCACAGACUGCUAAGGGUGAAGAUGUUUCUGGAAAGUACAAAUAGGCCAGGGGGGAGAACUUCAUUAAUAUUCACUGAUACAAGACCCUUACUGAAUGCUGGGAAAUCCCUAGUCCAAUGAUAACCAUCCUCCCUAAACUGCGGGAGUAACUGUUGGGGGGAAUUUAAAAAUCAUGUUCCAAUCUUUCCAACUAUAAAAGAAGAAAUGCUAA